GUCUCUCUUUAAAUAGACACUAAGCAUUCCGGGGAAGCUCGCACCAACAACAUGUUGAUGAUUCAAAACAGAAAAAAAAUGAGGUUUUUUACAGUGAAAGUAGCUCUGUGCUGUGUGGUGGUUAUGCUACUAACCCUCUCAGAUGCACAGCUAGAUAACUCUUUUUACAAGGACACGUGUCCAAGAGUGCAUUCUAUUGUGCGUGAAGUUGUCAGAAAUGUUUCCAAAUCUGAUCCCCGCAUUCUUGCCAGUCUCAUAAGGCUCCACUUUCAUGAUUGUUUCGUUCAAGGGUGUGAUGCAUCAAUUCUGUUGAACGACACAGCUACGAUCGUGAGCGAGCAAAGUGCACCACCAAAUAACAACUCAAUAAGAGGUUUGGAUGUUGUGAACCAGAUCAAAACCGCGGUGGAAAAUGCUUGCCCAGGCAUAGUUUCUUGCGCUGAUAUCCUUGCUCUUGCAGCUGAGAUAUCUUCUGUUCUGGCUCAUGGCCCUGACUGGAAAGUUCCACUAGGAAGAAGAGAUAGUUUAAAUUCAAGUUUUUCUCUUGCUCUUCAAAAUCUUCCGGGUUUCAAUUUCACCCUUGAUCAACUCAAAUCUACAUUUGAUAGACAAGGCCUCAAUACGACUGAUCUAGUUGCUUUGUCAGGUGCUCAUACAAUUGGUAGAUCUCAAUGUAGAUUUUUUGCUCACCGAAUAUACAAUUUCAGUGGCAAUGGCAACAGUGACCCAACUCUCAACACUACCCUCUCACAAGCACUACGAGCAAUAUGUCCCAAUGGUGGACCUGGAACCAAUCUCACCAAUUUGGACUUAACUACUCCUGAUAGAUUUGACUCCAACUACUACUCAAAUCUUCAACUUCAAAAUGGCUUGCUUCGGAGUGAUCAAGUGUUAUUUUCUACAAGUGGUGCAGAGACCAUUGCCAUUGUCAAUAGUUUCGGUAGUAAUCAAACUCUUUUCUAUGAACAUUUUAAGGUGUCAAUGAUAAAAAUGAGCAUCAUUGAAGUGCUAACGGGGUCACAAGGAGAAAUUCGAAAACAUUGUAACUUUGUCAAUGGGGAUUCUUCUAAUCUGGCUACUCUAGCCACCAAAAAAUCUUCAGAGGAUGGUAUGGUGAGCUCAAUCUAGAUGAGUUAACAAAAGAUAUCCUAAUGCAAAAAUGAAAGGUCAUUAAUAAAGGGGUUAUAUAGGAAGAUACAUGUUGUGUGCUAAUGGUGAAUCAUAAUAUCGUUUGUACCUUGUAUUAGCUACGGAUAACAACUACUUAUUUUGUAAUAUAUUAUUAUUAGAAUUAAGUUGUUUGGUGUUGAUGGGUUUGGAAGUGAUACGAUUCAAUGGAUGAAAUAUAGUUAAUAA